AGGAUGGAGACCCGGGACCCUUUGAGAACAUCCCAGACGUUGAUAGUGUAAUCAUUGUAUCCAGCAAACAGCAGGCGACCUUGAAGCAGGAAAAGUUCCCUUUGGGGCAUGAAGAGAAGCAAAGGCUGGGGAGAAAAUGCCUGAGAGCAUUGUGGAAGUGAAUUUCUGACACUUCAUUGCCUUGAAGGACAGCAUUAGGUCAUAGAGGCGACACUGGGGAGCAAAUAAAUAAAGAAGCACUUACUUCUGGCUUCAGUUUGGUGACGUGAUGACCACAGAGCUACAGGGAAGGAACAAAUUACAAGGAGGGGAAUCUGCUCCCGCCCUGGUGUUGCACCCACUGGCUGUCCACAGGACCCCCUCCAGCCUUGACUUCCCUCAGGAGGCCUGCAUACAUCCAACAAGAUGACUUAAGCUAGCAAAGUAGCUUAUGGACACACAAAACCUGAACCGAGGCUGAAAUUUGGGUGAGAAAAAUGAAGCACGCAGAAAUUCAAACGCUGUCUAGGAUCACCAGCUAGAACACAGCGGAGCCAAGAUCCAAUCCUGCUGUCUGCCUCCAGAGCCACCCUUGACCUACCCUGCCUCCCAGGCCGCGUCCCCGCCGAGGUAGCCAGCUGUGACUUCCCUUUAUCUCCGGCUAAGCUGCUUGUUGGAAAAGAAAGCACUUUCUCACCUACUGGUGCCCCCUUUCAUCCCCAACCCUGCCCCGGGGCAACACAGAGCGAGUCUGAUGGGUCUCCACAGAGGGGCUUCAGAUGCCUGAUGGUCGUGGUAGCCCCCUGAGCCUGCCUUCAUCCAGCCUAAAUGUCCUCUGUUGCUUUGGUUUGCCUCAGGCCCAAAGACAUCUCAUUUUGGCCACUGCACCAGUCAGUGGCCACAGCGCCCCCUGGUGAACAAGUCUGCAAGAUUCCUGGUUAGGCUCAAAUAAUAGGUGUAAACAACAGGGGCACAAUGGUGACACUGCAAGUCCCAACAUCCCUCCAGUCAGCAAUUGAACAAUUACCCAGCCACCUGACCUCCCUGCCUCUAACCUCCCCAUCCCUCCUGACAUCAAUUCACUGAAGCCAGAGUAAACUAUGGAAGGCUUUAAUCUAACUCAGACACUUU
rnacentral:lncRNA from 1 species